GAUGAACGCUGGCGGCGUGCCUAAUACAUGCAAGUCGAGCGAACAGACGAGGAGCUUGCUCCUCUGACGUUAGCGGCGGACGGGUGAGUAACACGUGGAUAACCUACCUAUAAGACUGGGAUAACUUCGGGAAACCGGAGCUAAUACCGGAUAACAUGUUGAACCGCAUGGUUCAACAGUGAAAGACGGUCUUGCUGUCACUUAUAGAUGGAUCCGCGCCGCAUUAGCUAGUUGGUAAGGUAACGGCUUACCAAGGCUACGAUGCGUAGCCGACCUGAGAGGGUGAUCGGCGACACUGGAACUGAGACACGGUCCAGACGCCUACGAGAGGCAGCAGUAGGGAAUCUUCCGCAAUGGGCGAAAGCCUGACGGAGCAACGCCGCGUGAGUGAAGAAGGUCUUCGGAUCGUAAAACUCUGUUAUUAGGGAAGAACAAAUGUGUAAGUAACUAUGCACGUCUUGACGGUACCUAAUCAGAAAGCCACGGCUAACUACGUG
rnacentral:rRNA from 1 species